ensembl:lncRNA
CCCAGCUCGCUCAAUCUCCCUGAUAUGAAUCUCCUUAAAACCCAGCCAUUGAGUGCCCUGCCAAAUCCAUCAGCGCAGACGAAAGAUUGGUGACAGGCGCUGAUAAGACCUUCUCUGUGGUCAAGUCUCUAUGACAAGGAGCAGAGGAGCAGCCGCCGCCACUGGCGAGCAGGAGCACUCUGAAAGUGAAAAAGAAGUGGCAACGGAGCCGUUAAAAACACUUUCAGCUUUGUUUUCUUUUUGCUACUGCGGGAGCCAAGUUGAAACUCUUGAUUUGAGAAGUUGGUUGAUUAAAGACUGAGAGCUUAAUUGGAUGCCUGCCCUUGAUCCUUGCUGUUAUCCUUUCAGUCUUCUGCACUCAGUCCCCAUUAUAUUUCAGAGUCUAGGAAGGGUUUUACUCUCUUUCAGCUGUAUGUGUGUUGCUAGCAUGCCUAUCCUAUGCGGCCGUGGAUGGGGUAUAUAGAUAUACUGCAGGGGUGUCACUUCGAUCGAACACGGGGGGAUUGCGGAUUGUGUAGCGGGAGGAUGUGGCAGACGUUAAGACGGCCGACGGGGUGGCACGGAUGGUACAGGGUUGCAGACUCCAACUGCGGGCCGCACUGUGAUAUACUGUGUAUAUAUUUAUAUCCGUCUUGGACUGCUUUGCAGCUUCAGGGGUCUAGACCAUCCCUUCAUCCAUCCAUCCAUCUGAAAACCACUAAUCCAAUCACAGGGCUAACACAGAGACAUACAACAAUUCACAGACCUACAGGCAAUUUAGAGUCACCAAUCAACCUGAUCCAUAGAUCAUGUCUUUGGACUGUGGGAGGAAGCCGGAGAACCCGGAGAGAACCCACACAGACACGGGGAGAACAUGCAGACUCCACACAGAAAGGCCACUGGGCGGAGUUGAACCCCAGACCUUCUUGCUGUGAGGCGACCGUGAUAACCACCACAACGCCGUGCCGCCCUGGACCACUUAACAUGAUUCUGCUCUACCAGAAAAUCCUGAUGGAGAAUAUCCGGCCACCAGUUUGUGACUUCAAGCUCAAGAGCACUUGGGUACUGCAGCUGGAUGAUGAUCUAAAAGCCCUGAGCAGGUCCACCUCCGAUGGCUCAGAAGAAGUAAAUGAAGGUUUUGAGCAACCUAGCCAAAGUCUGGCCUAAAACUUAAUUGAGAUGCUGUGGCAUGACUUAAAAGCCAUCCAAUGUCGCUGAAUAAAAACAACUGUGCAGAAAUGUGGGCCAAACUUUCUCCACAGCGAUGUCAAAGACACAUGGCUGGUUAACACUUGAUGUCAGUUGUUGCCACUUUUUCAAGGGCCAGGUACGUUUUGAUGGCUCUGCAGUUUGUAUUUACUCUUAUCUUUAUCUAAAAUGAACAUGUCUUUGAUGAUCUGAAACAUUUAAAUGUGACAACUAUGAAAAACUAAAUAAGAAACCAGGAAGGGAGCACAGUACUUGAUAUGUAAAUAUAUAUUGUGUUAAUUAACAACUUCAGCUAAACACAAAGAGAGCUCGAGGACAGCUAGCUUAUAAAAGAGGGUGUGGGUUCUGCAAACUCAAGCUUCCACAGAUGGUGGGGGUCAGGGGAGCGCAGGCCUGCUGGGAGCCAAAGCCAGGGGCUUGAUUAAACAUCAGCCGCACGGCAGGGAGCCCCAUAGAGGAGUCUGGCUGCCCCGGUUCUGCUCCAUAGCCUCCCCGUUCCACUGUGAAAGUUUGUAUGAACGGGGUCAGCAGUGGAAAGGAAGGAGAGAAAGGGGCAGCUGUGAAACCUGCUUUUGACAUUGUAAUACCUAAAAUAUCUGUAAGUAAUAGUUGACUUGUUUUCUCAUGACUGAAACAUAUGCUACAGGGGAUAGAGGGAAGGAGGAUGGAGAUGAAUCAAUCAGAAUCCAAAUCUCCAGUGUGUUCUGAGGGUGUGUGUUUCUGAAUGUUCCUGGUCUGUAAGGACGUGUAGGUCCCAUCACGACUCAGAUAAAGUCAACGAGUUGGAGAAUAACUACAAAAUAGUGAAAACUGUAAAUAAAUUUAUCCACUCCAAAGACACAAAAGAAAAGGUUGGCAAAGGCCCUCUGUGUCCCUAUAUGGUUGACAUCGCGGAGACCGUUGGACCCCGUUGACGCAAAAGAGAUCACGUCCUCCAUUAUCUGCAACACUUUGAUCCAGGCCAAAACUCUGCCGCAUCUGAGCCCGCUGCAUGAAUGCCAGCUUUGCAGAACCAAAGAAAAUAAACAUGUUUCCCCUUCCUGUCCUCUGCCGCAUGGCCUCAAAGAAGAUUAGAAAUGUGUCAUUCACUCAUCUAUCUUUCACUCUCAAAAUGAAUAAAAGAGCAGGGCCGUUAUCUGUCUCUCCAGAGGUAUCAAGAGCCCAUAACAUGAUUUCACUUUUCCUAAUCUCUCUGCUCCGAUUUCUUUAUGGGAAACCACUGCUGCUCACAUUCUUCUGCCAUGACGGGGCAAUCUUGUUUCUUUAAUAAUUUACGAGGCAAUCUACCUGCGGGGCGGUCUAUUGACGACCACAUGCAGCUGAAUUUGGGAAAUAAAUAUUAAUUGACGAUAUUUGCACUCAAAGAAGGGUAAGAAACAGUUUUGCAGAGACAGUACAAUAUUUAUACUAUUCACUUCCCUUUUAAUCCAAUAUAAAUGAGAGAUAAGAAAACUUAACCUCAGUGAGCUGUAUUAGCAUUCAGGAACUCACCACCAGCAAAAUGUCAUGCUUUCCAAUGACUAGUUUACAGUCGGCGGGGAGGAUAAGUGGAUUCUCAAUCGCAAUUUAACAACAAAGUCAAAUAAAAAGGACCGUAGAGCUUUGCCAAGCCAAAAACUUGUGAGAGUGUUUGUGGUAAGAAACUGAUAUAAAUGUGGUGCACCCAAAUAUGUGUAACCACAUUUGGUAUUAUUUUAAUGAGUAUUUUAAUGACCCGAACUUGAUAAGUACUUGUGUGUAAAUAUACUUAGAUAAAUAAGACAAUCCUUAUUUUACAUUCAUUAUAUGUAGUCCUGUGUGGAGGUGAUAAGUAAAGGAGAGAUGUUGAUAAGCAAAACAUUUGGCACUGUAGUCGGCCGUUCCCAGUUGCCUAUUGCGGACGGACUUCCUGCCUCCUUUACACGCAAUCUGGAGAAAGAGACGAGUGUUGCUGUGGUUCUUGCUCUUCAGACUACCUUUAUUUUACAGGUUUGUACCUGGUUAAAAUUGCCAUAAAUGACGGCCUUAAGCUUUGUUUUGGUUCUGUAAGUGACAAACGGUAAUGGUGUGAUGAUUUAUGUGUCUUAUGAUAAAGGUUUAUUGAGCCGCAGCAGAGUAAAAGCAGGAAAGCCGAGCCACAUCUCGCGUGAGUUUAUGCUGUUAUCUGUCGGGAAUGCCGGGAGGCAAGACUCAAAUGCAGAUUUUUCGAAACACAAAAAGACUUUAAUAGUCAUAAACUCCAACACAAAAUGGCCACAGGGCAAAAACGCAUACAGGUACCAGGGGGUAAAAAGGCAGGCAGGUACUAGAGACAUUCAGGACAUUCGACAAUGACGCGACAAGAGACCCACAACUGCUUAAAUACACUAGGGAGGUGCAGGUGAUUGGACACAGGUGGAAACAAUCAGACAAUCACAGGGGAUGACAGGACAAGGCAGGAAGUGAAGACAAGAGGCAGAAAACAACAAAAAAAGACAGGAAAUAAACACACCGUUACAUUAUUGCGAGAGUUCGCCAAGUCUAGCCUAAUGUAUUUCUUUUCACAGUAACCUCUAUUCAGGUUUUGCCCUUCGUACAUUGCCCUAAUUUAUUUAAUAAGACUCCUGAUGUGACUUAAUAUGUGUUUAAUCCAGAAUGUAAUAUUUGUUCAGUAUGCAGAGACAGUGAUUUCUUUUGCCAUGUUUUACAUAUGUUGGGCUAUUACAUGAGAAUAUGGUUCAGUACAAUCAUAUUGAGGUAAUUAAUAUACAUUCUAAAGUGCAAUGUCCAUAUUUGAAUAAGUGUUAUGCACUUACAUAGAAACACAGAUGAGCAAUCCUGAGUUUCUAUGUCUAUGGUAGUCAAUGUGGUGUUAAAAGGUCCCUUAUGUAGUUGGUCAAUUGAAACUACAUUAGGCAGUAAUGACAGCUACGGUAACUACAGGUGCAUAUUGCUGUAAAUUUACCUUUAUUUAGACUGAUCUAUAAGGUAAACAGGACAAGAAAAAUGCACUGGUUGUAAAUUGUAUAUGUGGUGAAUCAAUUGAAUAGACCCAAUCUGGAGAAAGAGAAGAGUGUUGCUGGUGUUCUUGCUCUUCAGACUCUAUCUUUUCAUUUUACAGAUAUAAAUCUUUUUGUUAUUGUGGUCAUCAUGUCCGAGACCCGUGACAUAAACAUUUUAACAGUGAACCCCAAAUGUGUAUUGCUGUUACAAGAUUUCAAUUUAUUCACAUGAAGCGGCAAAUCACCACUGCAAAGAGUUGAAAUUGGAAUGUAAACAAAUCUGAUGCAUUCUUGGAAUUUUUUCCGCCUAUCUCAGAAUAGAGAACGCUUCUGCGGCCACUUUAGGCGUAUUUGUUUCGCACUAUGUGAUCCCUCAUAAACCCCUUCUAGUAAUUAAACCAUUCCAACUCACCACAGGAGAUAUGAAAAGAAAUGUUGGGUUGCUGCACGGCAGCAGGAUUGUGACCAGGUGCUCUAGGCAGGUGAGGAUGCAACUCUCUAAAUGUAAAGUAGGGCAGUACUGAAAAAAGGAGCAAAAGUAUGAUCAGCAAAAGCCUUCCACUGAAAAGGACACAAAGACCCAAAGGCAGCCUGCUCUCUUUUCUUUUUUGGCUUCCUCAAAUUUGCUCUCGAAUCCUGCUGAGCAAGAAGCUUGAUUGACACAUCACUGACUCCGCACGACAAUCACACUUUUCAGAGGGCUCCAUUAUUAGCUCUUAUGGAAUGAGUUUCUCUGAGUACAUGGCUGGAGGCGGAGCUCCAUGAAACAAUGAGACGUGGACGACUAUCCGCGUAACAGCCAGGCGGACGGGAUUAUGAAGGGUCGGCAGCGCUGCUCAAAAAGCCUUUGUUAAGCAAUUCUAUAUUCUCUCAAUUGUUUUCCCCACAUGUCUUCACCUCCUCCCCUUUAUAAAUUGCUUGUUAAUUAAGUGUGACAAGUGUGUGUGUGUCAGCAGAUAUUUAAAAAAAAUAAAAACAUUAAGGGUUCUGGGUGAUAAAGGGCCAGUUGUGGUCCAUGAGCUUUGGUGUUGUGUUUGACCACAUGGGGAUGUACUUUGGAGGUAGGGAAGGAAAUUGUUGCCACUGCAGUUUCAGCGAUGGAGGGAGAGGGGACGUUUUGGAAAGAGAAAAUUACUUAUUCUUUUGUUAUUGUGAGAAAAGAACGGCAGAUAAGAAGAAAGCGGGAGGAUGCCGGUGUUUAUUUGGCUCUCACAGCAGAACAAAUAGUGCAGGUGAUGUUUGGUGUCUGUAUGUGUGUGCAAGUGUGGUGUACUACUGUGUGUGUGUGUGUGUGUGUGUGUGUGUGCAGGCCUUACAGUCUGUUACAGCAGCAGAUAGUAGUAAUUUCAUGUAGUUUGAUAAGACUGUUUAUCUCUGUUGUUGGGUGCGUUUCAUAAGUUCUCAGAUCUGCAAGGUGGGGGGCGCUCUCUCAAUAGGAAUACUGGAAAAUCUAAAUCCGUCUUCCAGUCCUCAGAUGAAACAUUUGGAGCUAAUAGGCAAGCAUACGUAUCCCAGCAGAAGCAAAACAUGGGAUCGUAAUGGUGGAUUCAAACCAGCACAAAGGAGUAAAAGGAGAAUUUGUUGCUGGACCUCAUCUCACACACACACUCCUUCUGUAGUCAACGCGAGAUGUCUUCUCUGACACACUCAGGUUUACAGAGACAUGAAUAUACAUUUAUCAGCGCCAUGAAUAACUGGGGUGAGUUGAGAGGCCCGGUGAUAGAGCUCGUGCCUCCCCCCUGCCUCCCCCGUCGUUAAACAGUAUUCGGCUUAACUUAUGCGAGUGCCAAUCACUCCAAAUGAAAAGUGCAAAUUAAACUCUCACGCUCAAAUGCAUAAUUAGACCUUUGGCUCGGCAGUGGAGCGUAAACGAUUUAGGGUGGAGAGAUGAGUGGCCAUGCAGGUUUUCUGGUGUGCUUGUAGACGCACACACUCUCACAUACACACACAAUCUCAUUACACUCUGCUGGAGAGUGUUACAGGGCAGAAAGCUACACUAAGUCAAAUGUAUCUUGAAAUAAUGGUACUGAUUUAGGCAGCAGCAAGAAUCCCAUUCAAUUAUUAUUAUUAUGUAAUAGAAUCCUAAUCAAUCAGUUAUCUGAUAAAGUGUUUGUCUUCUUACCACUCAAAGCCAUUUUCACCACGUCAUUCACACCAAUUCACUCAGCGGUGGCAUCCUCGCAGUUUGGGAGUUUGGGUUAAGUAUAUUGCCAAACAACAAAUUAUCAAGCAGUGCCAGGAAUCGAACUGGACUCCGUUCAACCACUGUGUUUCAUUGCAAGCUUGCUUCUCUUACAGUGAGAGACACAAAGGCUGCCUCCUCAUGAUUGAGUAACAUGUCAAACCUACAGUGGCCAGGUGCGGCAGGAUGUUACUGAGCCUUCUUUGAGGUGUGGGAGUUUAGGGGGAUUGGAUAGCGUUGACUUUACCAUGAACCGGCAGAACCUGUGAAUUCUCACAGCUGCCUCCUUCAUCAUUUGCAGAGGGCCUCAUAUCACUGUGGAAAAUCAGGGUUUGGAAGGGCAAAAGAUAUAUCACUCACUCACUCCCUCCUCCUCCUCCAUCCCUCUCAAGCUCUCCCUCCAUCUCCAUUUAUACUGCGCUCUCCAACUGUGAGGGUGGGUUUAUUGCUUCUUGUUCAAGGCAGUUGUCAUAACUCAUGAUUCUUUGAGUUUAUCUAAUAUUCCAAUUAUAUAGCUGCCACUAUUUUUUAAGAGCGCUUCUCAAGGGCAUGACCGCAGCUCAGGCAUUUCUCAGCCCGCCGACUAUAACAGGUUGACUGGCUAUGACAUGUCCUUCCAAUUAUAGAUUUGCAAUACUCUUCUCUGCAAUGGAACAAGUCCAACGCUUUCUACUUAAGAUAUUUUCACAAGAAGUGCAGUAUUUCAGCUGGUUGUGUUGAAACCUGAGAUGCAGUUAGUGAAAAAAGAUUUGAUUUUGACUAAAAAAUUCAAGAUACACUGUGCAAUAUUGCUUUUCUCAAUUAAUGUCUCCUCUUUCUGUCUGAAAUGUUGAAGCAUCAAAAACUGCUUUCAAGUAAAGAGUGAAUGUGGCCGACCACUGCAGAAAAUAGUACUGCAAUGGAAAAAUGGCAUCGUUACCAAAUGUGUAUUGGUCAUGUAUGCAUAUUCAUAUUACUAAGAAAAGCUAUUUCUGCAGCUGUACAAAAGCACUGGCUGGACAACUGCAUGCGGUAGCUAAAUAAAUGAAUGCUCAUGUAUACACAUUAAUAAUAUUAUACAGCUGUACAAUAAUGCACCAUGUAUAGUUUACAUGGUAAUAUUAUGGUGCAUAUGCAUUUAUGUCGCAACCCUGUGUGGGCGUCAGACAAAUCCUCACUUUAACUGUGCAACUUCCCUUUUAUCCAUGACCCGAGGGGCCAUAUACAGGUGGGUGAAAUGAUUUAUACAGUGUGUUACCAGACUUAUUAAGUUGUGAAUUUGAGUCAAGCCAUAUAUCUUAACACAACUUCAUUUAAUGCAGUAUAAUUUAAUGUAACAUACGGAAACACAAAGCAACAUACUCAAAUUACAGUGCAAACGUAACAUCCUUAUUUCUUUGAUAUGUUCCUUAACUUUAGUAGUUUUCUUUCUGCAUCUACCCAAGGGGAUGCAUAACUCAUCAUAGUUUAAAGCAUUGGGUUGAACCAAACCUCUACAAACGUAUUUUAAGUUAAUAGUUGUAGUACUAUUUUAAUAUACCAUACACGUUACAUUUAACAUUUUACCUUUAAAAAUUGGGUGACAACAGUAUGUAUGUGGUUACAUGUUUUUCUACUAUUACUGAUGAGUCAUAAACUGUUGGAGCCAUAACAAGUUUAAUGUUUUUAACUGAAUAAUCGUGAGGGUUUGCAAAGUACUGCCUGCAGAGAUAUUGAAGCACAUAUUCAACAAUGCAUCCCACACAGACAAAAUUAUUUAGUUUUUCUAGAAAAAGGCAUCUUUAACAAACAAACUUCUUUUUCUCCCUUGUUUAGUCAAUGCCUCCCUUUUUUUGUAUUUAUUAUGAUUCCGUGGAUGGAAAGCCACUGGCCAACUUUCUGUGUUCUUUAUGGUUUUGUACAUCUAUUUCCAGUGCAAGUAGCAAUGCAACUUUCAUUUUGGUCUCUUCCCGGACUAGAGUCUAUUAAAUUAAAGUCAUUUUAUUUUCUAUCGCCCAAAAUCACAAAUUACAAGUUUUCCAUAGAGGGCUUUAAAGUCUGAUAAACCCUCAGAUCAGCCCAGCAAAGCGUCUCCCAAAAAUGAAAAAAAGUCUAGAGUGGGAGCCAUGGUAGGAGUAGAAGAAACAAAAAAUGGAGAUUAGGAAGCAAAUCUGAGUUAAUGCAUUUUGCUGAUGGAUGAUCUCCUUAUUUCAUCAUUGAUAUUUUUCUCACAAAUGAAUGCUGCAGGACACUCUACCUCUGUCUCUGGGUUUAAAAAAAUAUAUGAGAUACAAUUAGAUAAUCAGUCCCUUAGCAGGUGAAUUUACAAGAUUUACAGCAGCAAAAGUGCAAACAAGAAAAUUUACAAAGAAAAACCAUAUUUAUUGCAAAUAAAUAUGCAGUAAUAAAACAAGAAUGAUUCAUAAAACUUAAAUUAAAAUAUUUUAUAUAUAUAUAUGCCAGAGUGACUAUUUUCAUUUAAUAAAUAAAUAAUACACACAUUUAAUUAAUGUAUUAUUUUAAUUGAGUACAGUAAAUUAAAAUAAUAUAUAUUUUAAUGAGUGAAAAUAAAUAGAACUCUGAUUAAUUGCAUCAGAUCCUACAGAUUUGUCGGGGUUCCUCCCAGUUUCAUAGUAAGGGGAAAGCAUGUUGACACUUUUCAACAACAUUCUUCCUGUGUGAUUUAAUUCUGCAGGUCAGGGAUGGCCUUGAGAGACCUCUGCUCGACCCGGGCUAGGACUGGCAGAGUUUAAAGCACCAUUCCACUGGACCUGCCAGGGUCCAUGGACUUAGUGCAGGCAGAGUAGGGGAUGGUAACAUUGUGACUUUAUACUCACAAUGUUACCAUCCCAGGAGAGCGUAGGCUCUCAUCAUCCGUGGACAAACACAAACCUUAAUAUCCAUGUAACAUUGUUUAACUUGUUUGUUGGUAGAAUAUUAAAAAUACGACAACACAUGCAAGUAGCAGACCAUUUAUGAAGACCAGUCCAAAACAACUAUGACAAUGCAGAGUCUUUCAUGUCCUGAAAAUGACCUAACACAAGUGUUUCAACCUGACAGCGAGAUUAUGGACCCAAUUGUUGGGUUUUCAAUCUCUUUAUAAUGUUUUUGCUUGUCUUUUUGAUCAUUUUUUUAUGUUUACCGUACUUCAAACAGAAGCCCCCAAGAACUGAGCCUGGCAACACUGAGUAAUCCAUCCAUAAAUAUGCUAGUGUCAUUUUUUCAGUACCAGAGGAAAUUUAAGAAAAAAUGUUUUUUUCCUGUAGCCAAAUGUAACCCGUCUCUAUUAUUGGUGACUAUGGCCCUGAGCAUUGCGCUCUUCAAAGCUCUGGAUCUGAAAGUUUUUUGUACAAAAACAGGUUUUGAUGCCAAACAUUACCAUUUUAAUAUUAGUUUAGGCAAAGGACCUGGACUGCAUGUAAAUCUGUUGUAAUCAAGCAAACUGAAGUGUUGAGGUAUGGAUUGAUAAGAACACAAAUCAUCCACUGGCCUGAACACGCUCUAGGCGUGAAUUUCAAAUGAUUGAGUAGCCAACAUGGCCAACAGCAUUGGCCCGCUUCCAAGGACUAACCACUAAAGGUAUGUUUCCUCUAGCAUUUGGCAUUGAUACAUGACCAGGUCUCCAGCCUGCAGUUACUGCCUUUUUAAAACCAAGGCUCAGGUCUGGCUAAGCAAGAAAUCUCUUUAGCUCAUUCACUGCUUAGAAACCCAGGAAACAGCGAAAAGAGAAAAUAUCUAUUUCAAUUCAAAAUGAAAGCUAGCACAUUAUUCCUAUUCAAUUGCAUUUUUUCUUGUUGCCCGGUUCAGUGAAAUUCAAGCUCUUCCAUUCAUUACCUAAGAACUGGCAGCACAUACCAAGAACCAAGACAAUUUACUGCAAUAGCAGAGAAGCUGGAAUCAAGAGGAUUCUAAGGGAUACAAAAUCAGAGGAUCCGGGGUUUAUUUCUACAUGCUAUGGUGGCCAAAGAAAAUGGACGCCCUCUUCCAUUCUAUAAAUCCACACAAACUACAUGACUGGCUGACCUUUUCUGAAGACAGACAAGUGAUUAUUGUAGACUGUUGAAAAAUAUGCUUGUGGUGGAUAUAGAGAAGUGGGAAGGCUGUUUCGUUUGCGUCUCUCAUUUACUUUCUUACUUGCGAGGUGGGUUAUAAGCCACUCAGACCACAGGGACAAUUUCAGGUGCAAUUUCCUGGCUGACCAAAAGCAGCUGUGCUCAGAAUCUUGAGCCGAGCGGUGUAAUACAAAAGCAAAUGGAGUAAGGCUUGAACUCUCUUACAUUUAGGCUCACAUAUGGUCACAUUUCUUGGAAAAAUGAGAAUAUCAAAUAUGUUAGAUUUCUCAGAACACAUUAUUCUCUUUGGAUGAAGACCAGAACUAUGAAUGGGCCUUUUGUUUCCACACCACCAUCGACUCUUUUAGUCUAUUCUCGUGAUGUACCCGUAAUCAUGAUUUUUGGAUUUUAAUCAUAUUUGGCGGCUUAAUCGUAAUAUUUGCUUUUUGUUAUGUAGGCAAUCAGAAAAAACAAACCAAUGGUUAAAUGUUGCCAACAAUGUCAAAUAUUUGUCCAGGGGAUUCAUUAACCACGUGUUGUGGGUGUGACUUUCUGCUGUUUCAUCACAAUUUAUAUUUGAAAUCUUUUCCCCUCUUAACUUUCCCAUAUGGACACAGGACUGUGUCGAAACUCAGAACCAGUACCACAAAUAAUUAUUUAGCUACAUAUCACGAAAAUAUACUGAAAGCUUUAUAUCUUUUGAUGAUUCCUGGCUACACUAAUCAGCAAUCCAAAUGAAAUUACUCCAAACACAAUAUAUCUAUUGAAAUUUUGGUAAAAUAAAAAUACUAUAAAAAUGUGUCCAAAAGCUGUGCGUACGGUUGUGUACAACUUGUCUGUCCGUCGAAAAUAAAUGCUACAAUGGAAAACAACACAUUAAAUAUCGCCCUGAAUCUAGUGAAAUAACCACCAAAUCAUAGCAGCAAAAAAGAGAAUUUGGAAGGUUUAAGUUCCAGACACUAGAUUGGGGCUGCCCAAACGUUUUCGGCUUGCGAGCUACCUCUCAAUCUACCAAGUGAUGGCGAUCUAGUAGUAGGGGUUACAAGACGGAAUAAAGUCUUUCCAUACCGUAAGUGCAAAAAAAUGUAUAUUAAAAAAACAUUGUCUGUCAGAAGCAUGGGAACCAAUCCAUACAUUCCUGGUCAUUACCUUACUCCGAUGACUUGCAGUGAUUUGAGUCAGCCAGGGUUUCUUUUGAAUGAAAUUAAAUGUGUUCAUUAGUAAGAGUUGCAAGCAAGAAUCAUUAAUUAGCACCAAGUUUUCUGCCCAUGUGUGAUUACCCGACGGGAUUUUUUUUCCAAAGGCACCCCUGCACUAAACUAUGUAUACCGGCUGUCUUCACCAUAAAAAAUGCAAAAGUAAACACAAGAAAAACAUUCUUCAAAGUAUAACAGACAAAACUAAGGAAAAGUACUACUGGGGGACAAUUGUAGUAGUAACAAGUAUCAAACAGCAAAGGAGCUGAGAGGGACAUAAUUAGGAAACUAGUGGUAGUACUGACUAUUACCAGCAGGGACGACCGAGAGCUAGUAUGGCAGUAGUAACGGCUAUCAGGACGGAGGGAGACAAAGUUAGAGACACUUUGGCAACGCUAUCCUUGGCUAGGAGCUACGGGGAAAAAUGGGGGCGGAGUACUCCAAAAUAACAGUAGAAGCGAGGGGAUUUCUUAAUGGUGGCAAGAAAGAAGUAAAAUUUAUCAAAGCAUUAAAUUAACAGGCUAGAUUACGGCAGCAGAACAUGUAUCACUGGACAAUGAUAGCGGACUCAAUCACCAUAAAUCUACAAACUACUAAACAUAUUCCUAAACGUUUAUAUAACAUAUGGAAAAUCUGUUCCAUGGUCAGUGUUUUGAACAGACCCCCAAACCCGCCUGUUUUUUAAACAAAACUAAAUAAAAGAAAACAAAAACAAAAUACAGCAAAAGUCUUUGUUGGUCCAGCAAAGUUUAAGGAAACGUGUUUUUUUUGCCGGUAUGUAAGCUUGGGUUUGGUCCCGUGGCACGGUCCUUGUGUGGGAAUGUGGCUUCAAAUUACUGUCAAUAAAAAUGAGAAAUAAAUAAGAUUUGUAUUAUAGGGUGGAAUUACAGAUUAAGUGGAUUCUCCAUUCAAUAGCUCUUCAAAAUGUAUUGUAUGUAUUUUCUGGCCAUAAAAUUGGCAAACACCAAAGAUCAAUGUCAACUGUUGCAGUGAUACACAUGUCUCGAUAACAAUUUUAGUAAAAAGGGAAAUUUAAAAACAAGAAAAGGAUAAGACUAUCAAUGUAUGAAUUAGUUUUUCUGCCGGGUAAACUUGUUUUACUUGCCCAGAUAUACCCACAGUACGGUUCCAUUUGCACAAACAAUGGAACAUCGGACUAAAUCGGAAAUCCAGGGAUUUUCAAUUUUGUGGAUGACAAAGAGUAAUAGAGUGAGCGCCGGGAGCGUCGGGGCCUGCGAUAUCCAAACACAGGCCUGGCAUUUCUUAUGCAUGGGAAAUGAAAUGUGUGCUCAUGCAGGUUGAGUCUUCCAGUAGACUUAAGCCACACUGGUAAGCACUACAUUUCCUCCCAGCCAUCUGACUGCUGCUGAAUAUAAAUGGAAAUUUUGACAGUACAGUUGCCGCUUCCACUACUACUUCUGCAAGGUACUUGCACGGUUAGAUUUCCAUUCUAAGUAUUUUUGUCGGCAUUCAGCCUGGGUUGUUUUUUAAAUAAAGUAUGCAGACCCUCUUGUCAGUUUCCUGGUCUAUACAGAGUGGUUUCUUUCUAUUGUGAAAAACAAGGCGUGGGGUGGUGUGCAGAAGCGACAAUCAGCACAGCGAUACGGCACCAUUGUACCAGGCUUCCUCUCGUUCCUUGUGCGGCCCUCUUUGUAAUAACAGCCCUCCUCUCCCACACACACUUUGGAUUUCAUUUUCUAUAAAGUAGCAGUCCAACGUACGGGGGGCCCCUCCGCAGACGCGCUCCAUCUCACAUUUCCUGCACUGCAUCCGUCCAGAGUCACAAGAUAAUCGGAGCUGAUGUUUUGUGAUUGGCAGGUCAGGAGAUCCUCCCUCCACCUCCCUGACACACACGUUCUUAAUGCCAGUGGAGCCAACACACUCUCACCAUUCAGAUCAUGAUAAGCAGGAAGAUUGUCCUAAAAGUUGCUAAAACGUUGAAAGUGAAAAUGCUCUAUCGAAUGAAAAAAAAAAGAUCUGCUGAUUUCUGGCCAAGAAAAGACAGCACAGACUUCUAUAUGGAGCUGGAGGAUCACGAAUGAACCACAGAUUGUGAAUCAUGCUGUUUUUGUUCUUCUCACUAAGGUGUUCAGUGUAACCUGAUCUCAACACAUCUGGCUAAGUGGAAAACGGUGUGUCUAUCUUUUGCAGGUCCAGGAAGAGUAGCAGGCCGCCUGAGUGAGGUCAUUUUUUUGGGGCCCUGACUUUUUCAAAGGGCUGUUAACAUUUGGGUCUAGAGUUAGAGAAUAAAGCUGUUUUUUAAAUCUUUGUCUUAUCAGCAAAUCCUUUCUCACUUCUCCGGUACUCAGCGGCAAGCCCAUUGGGGCAAUAGCUUUCAAAAUGGCUCAAAAAUAUUUUUUUAUUAUUAUAAAUAUAUACAUCGAAAAUAAAAUAAACAAAUUAAUCUCUAACUUAUAUGCUUUUCUUAAUAUGUACAUUUGUGUGUGUAUAUAAAAGGUAUGUGUAUUGUCAUGGGAGGAGUCAGGACGCUACAACACAGAGAGUGUCAUUAGUUCCCUGACGGGGUUUAUUGACAUUUCUUCACAGUACCAGGCAAGGCGGUGUACAACACAUGCAGGAGGACGGUAGUGCUCCUCUUGUGGUCUGUCGUCGGGUGGGCCGUGGGGUCAACGACGAGCCCGGGUUUCCGCGUCGUGCGGACUGAGUGUCAGGCGCUGGUCUCUGGGUGACAAAAAAAAAAAAAAGCGGGGUUAGAACACGUCUGUCUCACUCGCCCUCUUGGUUUGGUGUAAGCCUUUCCGCUUAUAUGGGGUUGGGUUAAGUGGCACCAGCUGCCGGUGCUCAACCGGUGAUUGUGGUGCGGCCGGUUUCCAUGGCGUCUGAUUGCGGGCCUCAGGUGACUCACCACAGUAUGUACAUAUCUAUAUAAUUCGUCAGUAUUUUCUAAAUGAUUAAUUCAAUAGAUAUUAUUAUUGCUUUCCAUUUUAGGAUUUUUUGUAUCCUAAAAUGAAAGACUAAAUAAAAAGUAGAAAAGGGAAAAAAGUGCAACAGCGUGGUUCUGCUCUAUGACGAAGAUAUUUCAGGUUCUGGACACACACAAUACUCGCUUUAUUUAGCCUUUUUAUUGCAUUUGUUUUUUUAUAAUAACAAAACAGGAUAUCCACAACCGUGUAGUGCGUAGAUAGAAAUCGUGAGGCAUUGCGUCAGCAAGGGAAGACAACUGUAAAGGUAAAUGGCGGGUCGAGUUAUAAUGAGGAUAUUCAAAUAGACACAAUCAUCAAAGGUUUUUACGAGUGCAUGGCACACCAAUAUUUUCAUCUUGGGUAUAUGUGGUUUUUCUAUAUCAUCUCUUUUGACAAUGCUAAUGUAUAUAUCAUUACCUUGGGGAAUGGAUGUAGAUUUAAUAUGUAUGUUAACGGUGUUCAUUUAAUUUAAUUUGUAUACUGUUAUGUCCCCUUUAUAAAAGGCAAAAAAAGGUAAAUACAUGCAAAUACAUGCUUUGGGACUGCGUAAUCUACAAUGACUUGUUGAUGUAACCUCCCUGAAUGAAAGCAGGAUGUCAGCAGUGCGCCUGAGACACAAAGCUGACAAAACAAAAGAAUAUUUCAGCCUCCACAUACCGAUGACCUGCGUACCACUGUGUUUUUCUACACAGGGAGGAAUUCCAAACCAAAUGAAAUAUGUUUACGUGCCAAUUAAAACUACAACCUGCCGGUUUAAGCUUUCCAAUAUUCCCCUCUUUGGUGCCACACGCUCAGUGAAAGAAUCGCAGCAGCACCGGCUUUAAUUCCUAGCGACUGGUGUGAGGACAAUCUGAGAAAACAAACAGAAACAAACCUUUAGGCCAAAGCAUCAUGUGUGGAGACACACGUUGCAUAAUUACUGCUUUCAUUAAAGGAGAGCAAACACUAUGUAACAGUAAAAACAGUUUAAAACAAUGGUUGAAUAAAGGAAUCACAUUAUUUAAUGAGUGAGGAGAAGAUUUAGGAAUGUGGGGUUGCAUUCGCCACCUCACCGCAGGGAGCCUUCCGAGAUGCGUUCAGAGCAAACGCUGUCAUCUUUGUAGCCUCGAACUGUUUGUAUGCGUUGGUAAAGCGGAGGAAAGAAGGCUACGCCAGUGUCUCCUGACAGCUCAUACUUGUUCCGUGAUGUGGUUGAUUGACUCAUGUGUUUUGAGACCAAAUGAAAAAGCAGCUGAGCAGCAGGGCCGCCGUCGCCUGAAACCAGCCGCCUUCCCAGCUUCGUUGGGAAAUAUUACACUUUAAUGGAGGUUAUUGUUUAUGACGUCCUUUGUUCCGAAGAACCUCAAUUCUCUUACUAUCAGCAAACGUAAUAAAACAAGAAGCACAUGUUUUGAAAAAUACCGUACAUAGUGAAGACAGCAGAAGAGAGGACUUACUUGUAUCCUUGUUCCCAUAUAGUCCAGAUUUAGGUGCUUUAAUUAUCACAUUGAAAGCUUGACUUGUUGGGGAUGUUAUGUUUCUUUUUUGUUGGCGUUAGUGCUUUUCAGAUAUUUUUAAUUAACUAUUAAUGUUCUCACUUUAAAUUAAAUUAAAUUAAAAUAUUAAUAACUACUUUGACUUCGUAAACAUUCUCUAUUUUACUGACUUCUAUUUGUACAAAAGGAGCAAUAUCACAGUAUGUCUUGUUACAUACUGUCACAGCGUUGUUCAUUGCGGCUCUUCUAGGCCGUUUGAGACACAUGUGUGUGAUCUACUAAACUCAGAUGUGUUCAACAAAAGAGGAUCAAGUCACAAUGUAUCAGUGCCAACGUAGCAUUUGUGUAUCUAUUUUUGAGGAAUAAAAAGGCAUGAUCAAAGUUAUAAAAGAGGGUGAAUAAAGAGGGCGUAAAAGCACUUGGGACAAUGUGGGCUGUCUUUGUUAGAUGAUAAACCUAUUGGUUGCAGAUGACAGUUUCUUUUCAAAAGCUCUACAGCAAAUCACUUUCAAAUAUCCAUAUUGAAUUACUUGACAUUAGUUGGCAUCUUAAAAGCUCUUUGACACCAACCACCACAGAGUUUCAUCCUUAUUUUUAAAAAGGGUUUCAGACCCCUGGGGAACAUCAGUGGGGGGAAAACAUUUUAAAAACAAUUUCAACAGAUUCCCAUCUGUGUAAAAACAUGUUUGAUCAAAUAAAAGCCAUUGUUCUAACUGAGGACAUUGUGUGGCAUACAAACAUAAAUGUCUUUCUUAGAAGUCCUUCCAAGAAAACAAUAGUUGCUCAGUGCACAUUACAGGCCCUAAAACCGAUCAAUAGCAUCAGCACCAUUAACUUGCCAAUGCAUUGAUGCCCUUUUCAAUGACUUCAGUUGUUCUUCCUCUGACAGCCUGGGAAUCAUGACCCAGGAAACCGAGGGAAGGAGACAGUUUAGUAAUAUCUUCUCCCCUUGGCCUCACAUCUGGCUCUUAAUAGCACUUCACAGCAGUAAUGGUUUUGGGGUUAAUGGUAAUAUGGAAAUUACUCUAGUAUGUGUGUGUGUGUGUGUGUUUGUGUGUGUGUGCAGCAGAGGGUCGGCCCGUCCUUUAUCCCUCGAACUGUGACUAUUCAUCAGUGUGAGUCUCUCCCUCAUUGGAAAUGUGAGACAAGACUGAUACGAGCCUGCGGCAUCACUGCCUUCACCCUCCUCCUCCGGCUCUCCCAAACCAAUGCAUGCACACACACACACACACACACAUACAAACACACUGGGAUUUCAAGGCCUGAUAGCUUGUGAGUUUGGGCUUGGUCCGCCACCGAUGUGCUGUUUUAAUGCUUUUUUAUAUUAGCUGCUCCAGUUAAUUGAACAUAACUGAAGGUUAGUUCUUUGUCAACUCAUCCUAUUCAACAGUUUACCAACAACAAAUCAGCCAUUUAAGUUUAGGAGAUCGGCCAAGGUUAUAUCACAGAACAGAAAAACAGGAAGUGAAAAUUUGGGUCUAUGACUUAAUGCGUUGGCUUGCACCCAACUAAACAGUCAGGGUUAAGGUUGCUGGAGCUAACAGUUCUGGAUGUAUUCUUGGACCUGCCAUUGUGUAGGUGUGUGUGUGUUUCCUGGUGUUACGUUUCAGUUUUUGUGCUGAUGGGAGGAAACGCUAAUUUAAUUUCAGUCUCCUUUGAAUGCAUCAGGGAUUCCAAUAUCCAAUACUCAAUAAUUCAAGCUAAUACGUUAUAGCCGGACCACAUUAGCUGUGAGAGCUCGCAACAUUACCAUUUAGAUUUAUACGGUACUGUAAAUAUGAGUGAGUCAUAAACACAGCUGUUUCAAAAUGGUGGGGUUUUGGGGAAAAAGUACUUGUUGGAUGAUUAUUUCGGAGUGAAUCGUUUUCUUUUGCGUUUGCUGAUUUAUUUAAUGGGGCUGUCCAGGUGAGACAGAGUAAGAAAUACCGACAGACAGCUGUCUUAGUCCUGACCAAACACGUUCAUCUACUCUUUGACCAUGGAUCACCUAGAUGAGUCCCUGCGAUUUAUGGCCUAUAACCACUGUGGGCUAUAACAGAAGAUGUCAUUAUACAUUCCAUGGCAGAGUGGCUCCUCCCGUCUGUUCUGUCCCAUUGAGCGGCGAGGUGCUUUUCAAAGGAGAAGCACCAAAGACGGGUCCCCCACAAAUUGAGAUGCUAUGGUCAUUAACUUUUAUUCCUCAACAAUGAAUAUAAGCCGGAGAGCCAAGCCUUCACUCCCAAUAUCACCCUAUGCCAGCGACAGAGGUCCACUGGGGGAGGUGAAGAGAUUCUGGAGGUUGGAUACUCAAUUUCCUGGUUUCAAAGUCACUAGUUGCCACAGUAGAACUGCUUCAAAGUGUUAAAGGAAAGUGUUCAACUAUAACCUACUCAUGUGCAGUAGUGUACCAGGUCCGUGGGUUAAGACAAAGAUCACAGAGGAAGCGCCCAAUUGAUCUUCUUCCUCAAUUAGUUGCCUCACAGCUGACUCAUGGUUACACCUACCAAGGUUUCUAAUUCAAACUGUUUCUAUGAUAUUGUAUAACCUUCAUCAUCAAACUAAAUAACUAAUAUAAAAAGCCCCACGUGCUUAUUUUGUGGGGUUUGCCUCAAGCAGCAACCAUGGAACUGAAUGUUUGAGUAGGAAAUAUCACUGAAGCAUAAUGAUGACAUAGUGUAAGUGUGUGGGGGGGAAGGGAGUUAAAAGACUUUGUAGCACCUCACUCGGCUGGAGGGUGGGGAGAGCAGGAGACGAGGCUUCACCAUGGGGUUCUCGCUCUAUGUGGAAUGUUUUGCUUUUAGGCGAUGAUGCCGGUGAAGAUGUUGUCUGAGAAUCAGCCCCCAGUCCUUGCUUCAUCUGUCUAUUCUCCAUAUCCAUCGCUCCUUCUCCAAUACUAUUUUCCAUUCCAAUGAAGGAGCAAAAAUACUGCAACCCUACGAAUCCACGCUGCUUCCGGUAGGUGGAACACAGACCGACCCUUUAGUAAAGUUUUUUGGAUACUCAGUUCAAGAAACUUAAGAAAAAUGUUGAUAAAAAUCUAUUUUCGUGAGGAAUAGUUGUUUUUAGGGGGUUUUGAGGUCUUGCCUGCUCUUAUCUACGCUGGCAAUAAAACCGUUUAAAAUGAUUCAUGCUUAAAUGCUAAAUUUGAGUUCAUCGUGUGAUCUCUGAUUGUCACUUUUUUUCCUCUACUGUAGAAGAGCUUGAUCGUGGCUUGUUUGUACAGCCGUAGCUUGUUAGAUCUGGUGCCUUCUUCAUACGUUUGAACUAGCUGACUCACAGCCCGCCGCAUUCCCUUCAGUUCAACUCCCACACAGACAUCCACCGGGAAAAGGAAGACACACAGAGAGUAGGGAUUAAAGAGUGGCACGGGGAGGGACUGUGCAAAAAGCCAUAUAAAAAGGGCAGAAUUAAGUUUCUGUGUGAGCAUGACGGAGCGUGCCUCAGCUGGAGAGACAGAGCACAUCGUAACAGUUCAGGGAUUAGCCCAGAGCUGCCAGCGAUAAAUGGAUGUGAGUGGCCCCGCUGCAAGUCAAAGGGACAGCCAUGUAAAUAACAUUGUCAGAAUAUUCUGCAAUCUAGGCAUAAUUUCCCCCGUCCCUGGCCCACGGAGGAAAAAACAGAACCUGACAAAUUGUCCUUUGAAAGUUCAAAUGAGCAUUUCAGGCUUUCUGGAAGAAAGGGCCUGUGUUAGCUACAGUAAGGGCAGUGCGAGGAGAGCCUAAACAGGCCCAUGCACUUCCUGUACCGCAUGCCUGGCUUGAGUUCUGAAAAUCAUUACGACACCAUCUGUCUGUCAUGACUGUGGCAUAUUUACACCUCACAUAUAUGACAUAUAAACGAAAAGCAGAUGCAAAGAGAAGUCAGAUCCACCACUUACAGCUAAUGGUUGAAAAAUGUACGCUGCUAAUAAAAGGCACAAACCCUGUCCAUUCCAAUAUGGAGACUGCUAUCGAUGAAAAUACCAUGUUUCAAACCAACUCAUGGAGCUAACAACAGAUUGAUUAGCGAGCUAUCAGCGGCUGCAAAUUGUUUUAGCAGACAGAAUCAACAGGAUGGUGUUUGGCACCGUUUUGUGAAAAUUAGGGCCAAUUAUUUGAAUCUGUUAUUUUUUUAACUCAUUUGUGGAAGAAAAAAAACAAUUCAAGGGGCAAUUUCACAAUGAGUACAAAAAAGUGAUGGCACAUAGCCUUUGAUACAUAUGUCAUUGAAGUUACUUAAGAAACAAAUGUAUCUUACAAUUGGUCCACAUUGACUUUUGGUAAAUGAUAACUGUCCUUGUACAGCUCCUUUAUAGUCGAGCUUUAAAAUGAUGAGUCAUCAUUCAUCGAUUCACACAAACUCUUCCCUGAUCAGAGGAGGUCAGAUCUUCCUGCUCCUUUUGGGGAAAGGAACAACUUCUGUCUGUACUUACGACUUGUGUUGAUGAUUUCCGUAUUCUUUAUCAUUUUCUAUAUUCUAGUUAGUAAUAAAUACUUAAUCACAAAGCAAGUUCAAGAUACUUUUGAUUUCUCACAAGGGCUAAAUCCACAAUUUCUAAAAAAAGCUACCAUACACAGGGACACUUGCCCAUUAGUAACUAACUUUCACACACUGUAGUUACAGCUACAGGAGCUAUUUGGGGUUAAGUGUCCCUCCCCAAAGACACAUGGACAUGGACACAGAGCUGGGGAUCAAACCGCUGAUCCUUUGAAGCAUGACCCUGCUCUUCCUUUGACCUAUCCAUCAAGCCCUAGCAGGAUAUUUGAUGGCGUUCAGGGUGAUUAGACUAUACUACCAACUGGGGUGUCUGAAGAACGUAAUUACAAAAGCAGUGUCGUUGUAGGGUAAUGAUAGGCAUUGAAUGAAAUAGAAUAGAACUGUAGCAAAUUAAGUAGUCUAUUGGUAUCUCUGGCUUUAGGGGUCAUGAUAUUGGCACUGGUAUUGCAUAUUUGUAAAUGAUAUCCAGUCCUUGCAGUCUUUGGUGCUCUUUAAAGAGCAGCAGCUGAUUUGAGCAUUAAAUAUUGUGAAAUAUAUCGUUUUGUAAAUGUAACGCCAUGUGACCAUCGUUGGCCUUUCCAAAUCACUCAAAUGAUUCAAAGAGAUACAUAUCAAAUAUAUGUUUUCAGCAGAUAGGAUAUAUUGUUUAUAAGAAUAUAGUGAUUGUUCUGGCUAAUUACUGUAAAUGUUUGAUCAUGUGGUAUCUGAAUCUUGCUCUUAAAGAUAUGAUUUGUUAAACUGGUGACAGUUAAGAGCAAGAGGAAACCGAGCAGAAGAGAUUAUGUCAAGUAAUUGUAAAAUCGUAUUUCAAGAUGCUUUUCCUCCCAGUAUUAUUUCCAAUAAACAAAUGUAUCUUCAACACACAAACAACUACGCGUAAAUCCGCUCAGGUCAUGGGCUGUCGGUGAGUUCAGUUUGUAAAUUUCUCCAAUGUUUGUUUUUCUCUCUUUUAAUGAAUGCCAGAUCAUUCUGAAGAACUGAACGCUGACGUGAAACUGUGCAUUUUAUUUAUCCUAUCCACUCACGUUGCACUCAAUCAGCAUGGUCCUAUAUGUCAACCAUCUAUUAUUUACAGUUGGUUAAAUCAAUACGUUUUUCAAUGUGCUACAGUGAAAUGGUUUAAAGGAAGUGAAUAAUGGCUGAGUUACAUUUUGCAGCUUCAGUUUCAUGGUCCUGGUAUUGUUCAUGCUGACACACUGUCAGGACAUACUGGGAUGGUAAUUUCAACAUUAUUAAAUAAAUAGUAAACAGGAAUAUGGUGGAGAGGGAUGAUUGGUAGAUAGCACCUGACAGCAAAUCGAGGCAGUGGUCUGUGUUGGCUGUUGAAAAGCCGGGUGGCGAUCACUUCAAGUUUUACAAUAACUACUCAUUUAUUCCCGAGUAACAACUUCACAUGCCAAAUGCAGAAUUUCCCUUUUUGCUGUAAAGCAACCGCAAAGUACUUAUUUUCGAAUAAACGUUGACCUAGGUGUCAAAUUAUGGACCCUCAAAUGCACACAGAGCUUAAAACUUUAUUGUGGUCAUUGAGCCGCAACCGUGGCUUCGCUCCUUUCUAAACUCCCUUUAUCCUCAGUCAUCAGACCUUAUCCAGGACCCAGAGAUCCAGUGUCCAUGUUCCCAGUGCAACAGUAGAUCCAGCCCGGCCCUCCGUAACUCACUAUUCUGUGUGCUGUCCCCAGACUACUGGGCCGCCCUGCUCCACAACACUACAGAGAGAAAUAAUAAAAGGAAAGGGAAGCAACAAGGUGCAACCCAACACCCCCGAGGAGUCCUCUCCCACUAAAUGGGAGUAUUGUGGAGCAGCUGAAACAAACAGCAGUUUGUGUGCCAACAAAGAUUCCCAAAGGAGCUGAGGAGAAGGAACAGAGCUGGAAUACCAACUUGUGGCUGCUCCUCCCCCUCCACUCUCACCUCCCACCACCUCGGCUCGUAGUGCUGUGAAGCUUUGUGGGAGUGAAAGUUCGCAGAGGGGCGGCAGCCUUUCUAUUCGCAUUCCACAUAGCAUCACCGAUGGCUGAAUUGAUACCAGCGACAGGAUGUAAGUCCUAAUCUUUUAAAGGAUGUAAUUCAUACUUUUAUAACUGCAUAAACAUUCCUUCUACAACGCCAAGCAACACUCUGACUAUUGUGUCCCAAGAGGGAACAAUUGAAGAAAGAAAACUAGAUGAGGGUAAAUUAAGUUCUCCUUCAUAAACAAGCACUCUAUGGAUGUGUCUCCCUGUGCCACAUCAGGGUCUGUGCUUCCAGCAAGGAAAAUGCAGUUUAACUUCUAUGGUGAAAGUUAACAAAAGCAAGACUUGCGGAGGAGUGUACUAAGCAUCGAGCAAACAGAGUUUGGAUCCGUGGAUGUCAAUCUGUAGUUUCAUCAGAACGAUGUGUAUGCCAGCUUGUAUACAACGUUGUGUUCAUUCCUAUUACUGCCAUAAGUAUGCCUGCCAAAGUCAAUAUUUUACCUUCCUAUUUGUAUUUCUUUCCCCUUUUUCUCUCUGCUUUGGAUAACUAAGUGACUUGUUUCCCGGUGGACCUCGGCGACCCAUUGCUGGGUUUGUUUGAUGCAACCAGAAUACUACAUGAAGGCCUGGCUCUUAGCAGAGGUGUCUGUCCAGAGGGAGAGCACAGGCAGCUUUCGGCUACAGAAAAUGAGCGAGAGGAAUAGAGACAGAGACAGUGCAGUAGCUCAGUCUGCAGACAGUCAUCCCUUAAGCUUUUGUUGGCUGCCAUUUAAGUGCCUACAGUUAGACUUUGUACGGGCCGUCCUCACACUUAUCCAAUAUCAGAAUAUCCGCAAAGUACUGAGCCAGCAGCCUUCCCUUUCUCAAAUGCUCUCAAAACUAUCUUCCCCAUUUUCCAUGUUUCUCCUUUCGGCAUCACAUGAAUGCAGCUUUUCCCCCUUUCCUGACCUUGGAUAAAUCCUGUUUGGGUUAGUUUUUGCAAACAGGAUUAUAGGAAUAAAAGGGUCUGUCCGUUAAACACAAAUCAGCAGGAUUUAAACAGGAUGCUGAAUUUCUUCACACAAGGAUUCAAGCGUGUUGUAGCAUUGAGGAAGAAAUGCAUUGACAGACACACGCAGAGCGAGCUGGGACUGUGAGAUUGAUGGCUGUCACAUGAGUGACUUGAAUGACUAUUCAUGACUCCGUGCAGCGGGGUAACACCUCUAUGUUUGUGCUGGUCAUUUGUUUUUUCUCGGGGCCUGUGCGAGCGAGCGCGACCGGAGUAUUCCUGCAUUGACAGUCCCAAUCAAUCACAUCGGCCACUAGAGUGCAGAGUUCAAGAGACGUUUUGGCAGCGGGCUUCACUAGGGGCCCUGCCAAGGCAAAGAGACUGAACUGGAGUAAUGAUUUCCAUUAGGCAGCUUUAUGAAUAUUUAUGACAAACAUCUGCAAUGAAAACAUUGCAUGAACGUACUCAAAGUUGGUGGAGCUUUCUCCCACAGACAGGCUGAGGAGAUGUGAGCCAAGCAAACAGGAGCUCGACAGCUGAUGUCUGAGAAGACUGUUGUGGGGUUAAAGGUCACAGGUGAAGAGGUGUCAGCCAACGGCAGGAAAACCAUGUGUCUAGGGUCAUUCUUAGCAAUUUACCGCUUCAGGGGCUACUGGACCAAAGCCCAUCCCUUAACAUGAUUUAAAUAGAUGUGUUUAAGUUGCAGAUGUUCACAUUUCCAAAGGUUGGAAAUGAAACCAUGGUGGGAUUCCCCAAUAUCAUUAUUCUGACGCUAUUAUUUUAUUAUUAAUUUUUGCUUUCACAAGGUUUUUGACAAAAAAAACUACAUUCAUGAAAUAUCACAAUCUUUAUAUGUCUAAAAUCUAAAUCUAACUCUGGACUGAUAUUGCAAAACCAUGUAAAAUAUAUGUAUGCCUAGCCUCAUGGGGUCAGAUCAGUCUCAAUAAUUGCAAAUGCGCAAAGAGCGACUCACAAAUGCAAACCGUAAGAUUCACAAAUGGGCACUGAACAAUUAAAUUAAUUGCAAUUAUUGAGACUGAUCUGACCCCACACAGCCUUGUGUACCAUAGCAUUUGGCUCAGCAGGGGUUCGCGUUAGACCUGAGCUUAAUAUCAAGCAUUGUUUCGGUGAAGCCUUGGACCCUUUAAAAAAUUAUAGAAAAGGCUAAUUGAACACUUGUGUAUUUGGCAAAUUAUUAUGAGUAAUAAUGAAUUGACACACACAAUUGAUAUUUUACAGGGAGCUGUGGAGAUUUUUUUAGUUUAUAUUUCCAAACUAGUAACUCUCGUUCAUGUGGGCCCUUCACAGCAGUAACUACCAACAACAACCAGAUAACAGGGAGUGCAGUGGUUGAAGGCAGUUAGAAUAUUUAUUAAACACAAAACUCCAUAGGUCGGUCACGUGAAGCAUCCUAAGGGAGGAUUGUUGAAACCCACCAAACAGACCUUACACAGUCCACAAAUCAAUGCUGUCACGCAUCAACAUGAUAAUUUAAAGCAUUUAGAGCUCUUUUCUCAUGUUCUUUAAAUGCACUAAAGAACCUUCAAAGCAUUACGACUGCAUUUAACGACUGGAAACUGAGGACAAGGAGACGUCCUUUUGUGUAAUUUUUGUUGACUCAAUGUGCUGAACUUGGUGUUGCCAUCUCUCCUGUCAACAGUUUUAAUACGACCGGUUCAACCCAGAGCUGCCUAGUUUGGGACAUUCUCCAAAGAGAUAUCUAGCCCCACAAAUGAAGGACAAGGACUUUUGAUUUUCAAAAAGGCUUCGACCAAAGACACAUUUGUCUAAAUGAAAAUCACAAUUAGGCUUCUUUUGUGUCCUUAGUUAGUGAUACGGUUGCUUUAUCGAAUAACACUUUAUCAAAUAGUGAAAUACUAUUUCAUGAUCAGCAGUUGGAAUUAGUGGUGAAUAAAUCUUUGGUGUUUCACAGAAUAAACUUAGUUUCCUGAAUGAAAGAUAAAAUGUUUAUUUUUCUUAGUACAAUUCAAGAGCAAUUGUGUAAAAAAAAUCUACCUUAAAUAAGAUAUAAUGAGACCGUAGUCUAAAAGAAUGGGCCAGUGUCUGCGACAUUCAUCAGAUAUCAUAUUACACCGGCUGGCAUUUGACUGUCUGUCACAGGUGAUCUCAAUCCAACUGAGCCUGACAUCAGAGAGCAGCGUAUAGGAGGUUCCCACCGGGUCAAACAGAGUCUUGAUCAGAUGUCAAGUUAAUGAAAACCUCCAAGAUGGGGAUGUCUGUGCCUACUGUAGCUCAUAAGCUGGAGACAGUUGGGAAAUUUGUGGUUUGGGUUUUAUGAGAAUGCAGCGGCCCAUGGGAAAUGUUUUAAUUUGGUUUGUAUGCUAAAGUAGGGUGUGGGUGGUCUUGACUGCUGUCGCAAGCUGCUCCAUAAAAGGAAGUAGCAUAAAUGUCACUUGCUAUUUAUUUUAACCAACAUUCUUACUGUCUCCCGUAGAAAUGGCUACAAACAAAUGUUGUUGAUUCGUGAGUGUGUUUUUCUGUCUUCCUUCUAUAAAUAAAUAUAUGUCUAAACAUACACAUAUUCUUUAAAACACAAUUGUAGAAUCUUAUGAGUGAAUAAAUAAUUCACUGAUAAAGGCACAAUUUACAUGUUGAGGGAUUUUAAAAAGAGAACAUAUCUUAACACACCGGAGUUCGGGGGGGUGGGGGGGGGGCCUGUGGAAAGCUACCUUGUCUUCAGAAAGUUGCAACCUGGGACCAGCCCAGCCUAUCUGUGACUACUAAAUUUCAUGUUAACAUUCAUCUCUUAAAUCAGAUCUUCUUCAAUCCUGAACGGAAAUAUAAGAAUGCUCAAUGUGUUUUAGUUAUUUGUCCACAUAUUUAACUGAACUUUAAAUUAACUUUUACUUUCUGUAAAGUUCUGGUCCGUACUUGUAAGUGCGCUAUAAAUAAACCUAAUUGACUCAACUGACACACACAGAGGUUGAGGCCAAGCGGUGUCCUGUUGACAAUGAUUGAGCGAGGAGUGUGUUUCAAGUGGUGGCAACAGCCCUUCCGUCCUCAUCCCUCCUUCUAUCUUUUGUUUAGAGUGGCGCUCCAUGUCCCAGUUAGUCCUACUAGCGAGGCUUGCCGGCCCCCCUUCACAACCUCACCAACUGUUGUUCAUGGAGGAAGUGUCAUCCAGGCCCUUAUUAUUCCAGCUGGGCAGGAGAUACCUCUGCCACCCAGCCACGGGCUGGAGAGUUUAGCCCAAAACUGCUGCAGCGAGAUAAAAAGAACCUUUUUCAGAGCAGUGCUUUCUGUGUGAGCCAAAUAUCUUCCUUUAAGAUAACAAACAAGGGGAUGUCAUCUCAGUACAGCCCACUAUCAGAGGGUGGACUUAAAAAAAAGUUGGAUGACCCUUGCAAAGUGUUUUCCGCAAUGUGAGCAUUCUUCUCCAUUUCUGGAGGAGGGUGGGCCAAACCAGGUGUCAGAAGUAAGGAAAGAAGUUACACGCCAGGGAGUUGGAGGGUCAAACAGGGUUGGGCUUGUUAUUCAAACAGACGCUGCCAGGUCCUGGCCUUCAACAGAGUUUGUGAGACUUGACGUUGAGCUGCUUCCUGCUUUGAACCCUUCGUAUAUGACCUACUCCACGAAGGAUUGGUGAUUCAGCAACAACUUUGACAGCAAAAUUGAGCAUGGCAGCACUCAUAAGCUGCAAAAAAAGUGUUCGGUGUAAGUAAUGGAACCCCCAAUUGGUAGGAUUUAGGAACAUCAUUCAUGGAAAACAUUUUUACCAGCGAUAAAUCACAGUGGCAGCUGAUGUUGACCGAAACAUUUCCCAUAGCCCUUUCUGUAAAAAGACACUCACAUCAACACUGUUUGGUGGCUACAGCCAAGGAUCUGUGAGUUUGCCUCAUUCACCUCCAAUACACCUUUAAAUCACACACAGACAGGUCUCUAAGUGUAGGGUUAGGGUUGGUGUAGUGUCCCUUUUAUUUCUGUUUAGAAUAAAUAAAUUAUACAUAUAACUACAUAUUAUAUAUAUAUAUAUAUAUAUA